GAACGCACCUUGCGCCCUUUGGCUAUUCUGAAGGGCAUGCCUGUUUGCGUAUCAUGAACACCUCAACUCUCAUGGUCCGCCAUGAUGAGCUUGGACUAUGGGGGUCUUGCCGGCCUAGCGUCGGCUCCUCUCAAAUGGAUCAGCUUCCCAGUGUUUGGUGGCGUCACAGGUGUGAUAACUAUCUACGCUUGUGGUUUUCCACCAUUAACCUUCAGCAAUGGAGGUUCGCUGGAGCUUACAGAUGUCUUUCCUUGGGGAGGACAGCUUCUUGAAUGUCUGAUCUCAAAUCAGGUAGGACUACCCGCUGAACUUAAG
rnacentral:misc_RNA from 1 species